GGGAAAUGAAAACUCAAACUACAGCAAUACACGCUGUACACUGAUAGCGGCGUCGGCCGUCGAUAAAACUGCUCAUGGCUGGGACGCGCCAUCUUUUAUACAUCACGCAUCGAACUUUCCAGACUUAUCAAUGGCGGUCGCGCAAGCAUUGGAAUAAUCUAGACAAUUUGCGUCCUGCGCGCAAUCUUAACAAAGGGAUCUACUACAAUGGCGAAACUUCUCGAACACUCUGGCGUGGUCAGC
rnacentral:lncRNA from 1 species